ensembl:lncRNA
CGGGGCCUGCCCACAGAACGCCCCUUUGGGGUUGCUAUAGAAACAGGCAUAAUAAGAACAAAACAGAGGCACGUUGCCUGGCAACACAGGAGCCCAGGGUUCAUCACAUACUUACUACCUACAAAUCAGGGAACCCCCGGGGUGGGAGUGGCACUUCUGGCGAAGCUGGGGUAUCCCAGUAAUGAUGAGUCCUAGAGCUGACCUUGCUUUUCCAGUGGGUCUGGAGGACUGUGUGGUAUGGGACGCUUCUGAAGGGCAGUGGAGCACCAGCGGGAAGGCUGAAGUCCUCUCAGAUCCCUGGCAAACUGUUCUGGCGUGAUUGCCAGGUGCCAGCUGCUGCCGUAGACACAGAGUACACAGCAGAAAGCAAACAGUGCCUGCCCUCCUGGAGCUUAGAUGUGGAUGGGAGCUUUGAGUCCGGCUUCUGAAGGUUAUGUGAUUUUAGGUAGGUGCUGGCAAAGAGGAGCAGACCACAGUGGAGGUG